CUUUUUGUUUUCUUGAAUGUUCUAUUUAAAUAAUUCGUAAUAAAUGACCAUGAUCUCUUUCAGAAUCUGAUGAUAUCCUAACCUUGUUGAUUUCAUCUAGCUGGUGCUAUGGGGGAAGGGAUGGUGGCCUCACCUCAUAACCCGGAUUAACAAUUUCUUUGUUUUCAGAAACCAAUUAUGACCAAUUAUGUAAUGAUGUUUUAAUUAAUCGUGUUUUCAUUUCUGUGUUAACUCAACUCUGAGCAGAGAUGUCAAAAGUAAAAGUAAAAGUACUUUUGUGGUGUAAUUACAACACUUGCACAUGGUAGGCCUAUUACAUAGCUGUUACAGCAUUUACUCCAUUGUAACUAAUGGGAUAGAUGGACUGUACUAAAAAACACUGAAAACCUGACAAGGACCCACCAUAAACUUGAUCCAACCAGUGCACAGUUAGCUGAUCGCCAGACAAGUACACAGAUCUACUGUGUUUACUCAGAUAAGUUACUUGUGUAGGAAGGAAACUUUGUUUCUUUUUUUACUUUUACUUUUGACACCUCUGACUCUGAGUCACUUAAUUAGUGCAGUAUGAAUGUUGUUUACCUCUUUCAGGUCAAGUCUGCCUGGAGAUACAGAGCCACAAGGCCGCAGGAGAAGAUACCAGGCGAAAUGAAAGAUGUGAAUACGUGUUAGUGAUUUGAUGUAUUUGGAUAAGGCUUUGUGAUUUGGUUGCAUGGCGGUCUGAAAGAGUCACGAGGCCUAAAGAUAAGACACGGUUUUGCACAUGGGUGAAAAUGUAUGAAAAGUAAAGUUUUAAUCUAAUGUCUUUUUAGGUCGAAGAUGCAGAAUUCGGGACAUCAGAAAAACAGCUUGACGUGUUGCUGCACUUCCUUUCACCUGUAACCAAACUGUCAUGGAUUGUGCUCUUGUGUGCAGGUGUGUGUUGGUGUUCCAAGCAGACGAGCAAGGCAUGAGCAUGAGGGCCAUGGGCUAGACGUAAGGAAGCAGAUGGGCAAGUCAAAGGCCAUGAAGUAGGAACAAUGGAGACCGUGGGCGAAGAGGAGGUGGCAAGAUUAUCGGAGUGACCCUAUCAAGGCUCAAGAUUAUUCAAGCAACCCAACCUGCUUAUUUUGAGAUUUCAUGUGCUAAGAUUAAUAAAUCAUCAUUAUUAUACAAACAGUG